AGUUGUUCGUGUAACAGAAGGAACGAUAGGUGUGGGAUUUAAGCGGGCGAGAAAUUCAAGACGGCCGUCACGUUACCCCUAGCAACCACCAAAAGGUCUGUGACCCCGAGCAUCCAGCGUCUGACCUCUUGACCUCUGAUCGAUCGGUUCCGUCUGCGACCUCUGACCUCUGACUGUUACUGUCUGGCAGUGAUGUAAUGACCGUGAAACGGUCUGGAGCUCUCAGCCAGCUGUGGGAGAUAUCCCCUUGCCUUUUUUGACGUUUCUUUGUUUCUUUUUAAAAAUAAAAUAAAACGCUGUAAAUUUGG